rnacentral:rRNA from 1 species
UACAGAGGGUGCGAGCGUUAAUCGGAAUUACUGGGCGUAAAGCGUGCGUAGACGGUCAAGUAAGUCGGGUGUGAAAGCCCCGGGCCCAACCUGGGAAUUGCAUUCGAGACUGCGUGGCUAGGGUGCGGAAGAGGGAAGCGGAAUUUCCGGUGUAGCGGUGAAAUGCGUAGAUAUCGGAAGGAACACCAGUGGCGAAAGCGGCUUCCUGGUCCAGCACCGACGUUCAGGCACGAAAGCGUGGGGAGCAAACAGG